UACGAAGGGGGCUAGCGUUGCUCGGAAUUACUGGGCGUAAAGGGUGCGUAGGCGGGUCUUUAAGUCAGAGGUGAAAUCCUGGAGCUCAACUCCAGAACUGCCUUUGAUACUGAGGAUCUUGAGUUCGGGAGAGGUGAGUGGAACUGCGAGUGUAGAGGUGAAAUUCGUAGAUAUUGGGAAGAACACCGAUGGCGAAGGCAGCCAUCUGGACCGACACUGACGCUGAGGCGCGAAAGCGUGGGGAGCAAACAGG
rnacentral:rRNA from 1 species